UAAACCAGCCCAAAAAAUAAAGUGCCCAGGUUGGGUGACCUUCCUCUUCUGCUCGCCAUGUCAAUAGUUGAGAUAUCUGCUACUUUAUCUCUCAUCGAGCAACUUGAUCGUAAAUUAUUUAUCAUCCUCAGAGACGGCAAAAGUUACUCUGGUAUUUUGAGAUCGUUUGAUCAAUAUGGCAACUUAGUUCUUGAAAAUACAAUCGAAAGAAUCUAUGUAGGAAAUCAAUACGGAGAACAAAGUCUGGGUGCAUUUUUCAUCAGGGGGGAAAACGUUGCUUUAUUAGGGGAAAUCGACAUAGACAAAGAAAAAAGACUUCACAAGAAAAAAAUUUGGACAAAAGUUGAUAUAAAAAAAAUCAAGAAACUAUAUGAAACAGAAACAGAAUCUAAAAUGAAAAACAUAAAACAAGACAAAGCUAAUUUAGCUUUUG